CGUGUAUUUGAGACAAAUAAGCCAACCUUGGUACAUAACCGCUGAAAACUAAAAAACCGUACCCUAAACCAACACAGGUGGAUAGGUCGAGUAGACUAAGGUGUAUGAGAUAAUUAUGUUGAAGGAACUCGGCAAAAUGACUCUGUAACUUCGGGAGAAAGAGUACCUUUUUAUUUAAGUGUUUAUAGACGAAAUAAUAAGAAGGUGGCACAGAAUUGGGGGUUGCGACUGUUUAAUAAAAACACAGGACUCUGCUAAAUCGUAAGAUGACGUAUAGGGUCUGACACCUGCCCGGUGCUGGAAGAUUAAUAGGAGAUGUUUGCGCAUUGAAUAAAAGUCCCAGUAAACGGCGGCCGUAACUCUGACGGUCCUAAGGUAGCGAAAUUCCUUGUCGGGU
rnacentral:rRNA from 1 species